rnacentral:rRNA from 1 species
GACGAACGCUGGCGGCGUGCUUAACACAUGCAAGUCGAGCGGUAAGGCCCUUUCGGGGGUACACGAGCGGCGAACGGGUGAGUAACACGUGGGUGACCUGCCCUCAGCUCUGGGAUAAGCCUGGGAAACCGGGUCUAAUACUGGAUAUGACUCCAUGACGCAUGUUGUGGGGUGGAAAGCCUUGUGCGGCUGAGGAUGGGCCCGCGGCCUAUCAGCUUGUUGGUGGGGUGANGGCCUACCAAGGCGACGACGGGUAGCCGGCCUGAGAGGCGACGGCCACACUGGGACUGAGACACGGCCCAGCUCCUACGGGAGCAGCAGUGGGGAAUCUUGCGCAAUGGGCAAAGCCUGACGCAGCGACGCCGCGUGAGGGAUGACGG